AUAAAUCAAAACUUUCAACAACGGAUCUCUUGGUACUGGCAUCGAUGAAGAACGCAGCAAAUGCGAUAAGUAAUGUGAAUUGCAGAAUUCAGUGAAUCAUCGAAUCUUUGACAGCACAUUGCGCCCGCCAGUAUUCUGGCGGGCAUGCCUGUUCGA
rnacentral:rRNA from 1 species